UCUUAAUCGGGGAAGUUCCUUCGGGGACAGGAAGACAGGUGGUGCAUGGUUGUCGUCAGCUUCGUGUCGUGAGAUGUUGGGUUAAGUCCCGCAACGAGCGCAACCCUUAUUGUUAGUUGNUACCAUUUAGUUGAGCACUCUAGCGAGACUGCCCGGGUUAACCGGGAGGAAGGUGGGGAUGACGUCAAAUCAUCAUGCCCCUUAUGUCUAGGGCUACACACGUGCUACAAUGGCAAGUACAAAGAGAAGCAAGACCGCGAGGUGGAGCAAAACUCAAAAACUUGUCUCAGUUCGGAUUGUAGGCUGAAACUCGCCUACAUGAAGCUGGAGUUGCUAGUAAUCGCGAAUCAGCAUGUCGCGGUGAAUACGUUCCCGGGCCUUGUACACACCGCCCG
rnacentral:rRNA from 1 species